rnacentral:rRNA from 1 species
UCGGAUUGUAGUCUGCAACCCGACUACAUGAAGCUGGAAUCGCUAGUAAUCGCGGAUCAGAAUGCCGCGGUGAAUACGUUCCCGGGUCUUGUACACACCGCCCGUCACACCAUGGGAGUCGGAAAUGCCCGAAGUCUGUGACCCAACCUACGGGAGGGAGCAGCCGAAGGCAGGUCGGAUGACUGGGGUGAAGUCGUAACAAGGUACC